rnacentral:rRNA from 1 species
GGUUAAGCGACUAAGCGUACACGGUGGAUGCCCUGGCAGUCAGAGGCGAUGAAGGACGUGCUAAUCUGCGAUAAGCGUCGGUAAGGUGAUAUGAACCGUUAUAACCGGCGAUUUCCGAAUGGGGAAACCCAGUGUGUUUCGACACACUAUCAUUAACUGAAUCCAUAGGUUAAUGAGGCGAACCGGGGGAACUGAAACAUCUAAGUACCCCGAGGAAAAGAAAUCAACCGAGAUUCCCCCAGUAGCGGCGAGCGAACGGGGAGGAGCCCAGAGCCUGAAUCAGUGUGUGUGUUAGUGGAAGCGUCUGGAAAGGCGCGCGAUACAGGGUGACAGCCCCGUACACAAAAAUGCACAUGCUGUGAGCUCGAUGAGUAGGGCGGGACACGUGGUAUCCUGUCUGAAUAUGGGGGGACCAUCCUCCAAGGCUAAAUACUCCUGACUGACCGAUAGUGAACCAGUACCGUGAGGGAAAGGCGAAAAGAACCCCGGCGAGGGGAGUGAAAAAGAACCUGAAACCGUGUACGUACAAGCAGUGGGAGCACGCUUAGGCGUGUGACUGCGUACCUUUUGUAUAAUGGGUCAGCGACUUAUAUUCUGUAGCAAGGUUAACCGAAUAGGGGAGCCGAAGGGAAACCGAGUCUUAACUGGGCGUUAAGUUGCAGGGUAUAGACCCGAAACCCGGUGAUCUAGCCAUGGGCAGGUUGAAGGUUGGGUAACACUAACUGGAGGACCGAACCGACUAAUGUUGAAAAAUUAGCGGAUGACUUGUGGCUGGGGGUGAAAGGCCAAUCAAACCGGGAGAUAGCUGGUUCUCCCCGAAAGCUAUUUAGGUAGCGCCUCGUGAAUUCAUCUCCGGGGGUAGAGCACUGUUUCGGCAAGGGGGUCAUCCCGACUUACCAACCCGAUGCAAACUGCGAAUACCGGAGAAUGUUAUCACGGGAGACACACGGCGGGUGCUAACGUCCGUCGUGAAGAGGGAAACAACCCAGACCGCCAGCUAAGGUCCCAAAGUCAUGGUUAAGUGGGAAACGAUGUGGGAAGGCCCAGACAGCCAGGAUGUUGGCUUAGAAGCAGCCAUCAUUUAAAGAAAGCGUAAUAGCUCACUGGUCGAGUCGGCCUGCGCGGAAGAUGUAACGGGGCUAAACCAUGCACCGAAGCUGCGGCAGCGACGCUUAUGCGUUGUUGGGUAGGGGAGCGUUCUGUAAGCCUGUGAAGGUGUGCUGUGAGGCAUGCUGGAGGUAUCAGAAGUGCGAAUGCUGACAUAAGUAACGAUAAAGCGGGUGAAAAGCCCGCUCGCCGGAAGACCAAGGGUUCCUGUCCAACGUUAAUCGGGGCAGGGUGAGUCGACCCCUAAGGCGAGGCCGAAAGGCGUAGUCGAUGGGAAACAGGUUAAUAUUCCUGUACUUGGUGUUACUGCGAAGGGGGGACGGAGAAGGCUAUGUUGGCCGGGCGACGGUUGUCCCGGUUUAAGCGUGUAGGCUGGUUUUCCAGGCAAAUCCGGAAAAUCAAGGCUGAGGCGUGAUGACGAGGCACUACGGUGCUGAAGCAACAAAUGCCCUGCUUCCAGGAAAAGCCUCUAAGCAUCAGGUAACAUCAAAUCGUACCCCAAACCGACACAGGUGGUCAGGUAGAGAAUACCAAGGCGCUUGAGAGAACUCGGGUGAAGGAACUAGGCAAAAUGGUGCCGUAACUUCGGGAGAAGGCACGCUGAUAUGUAGGUGAAGUCCCUCGCGGAUGGAGCUGAAAUCAGUCGAAGAUACCAGCUGGCUGCAACUGUUUAUUAAAAACACAGCACUGUGCAAACACGAAAGUGGACGUAUACGGUGUGACGCCUGCCCGGUGCCGGAAGGUUAAUUGAUGGGGUUAGCCGCAAGGCGAAGCUCUUGAUCGAAGCCCCGGUAAACGGCGGCCGUAACUAUAACGGUCCUAAGGUAGCGAAAUUCCUUGUCGGGUAAGUUCCGACCUGCACGAAUGGCGUAAUGAUGGCCAGGCUGUCUCCACCCGAGACUCAGUGAAAUUGAACUCGCUGUGAAGAUGCAGUGUACCCGCGGCAAGACGGAAAGACCCCGUGAACCUUUACUAUAGCUUGACACUGAACAUUGAGCCUUGAUGUGUAGGAUAGGUGGGAGGCUUUGAAGUGUGGACGCCAGUCUGCAUGGAGCCGACCUUGAAAUACCACCCUUUAAUGUUUGAUGUUCUAACGUUGACCCGUAAUCCGGGUUGCGGACAGUGUCUGGUGGGUAGUUUGACUGGGGCGGUCUCCUCCUAAAGAGUAACGGAGGAGCACGAAGGUUGGCUAAUCCUGGUCGGACAUCAGGAGGUUAGUGCAAUGGCAUAAGCCAGCUUGACUGCGAGCGUGACGGCGCGAGCAGGUGCGAAAGCAGGUCAUAGUGAUCCGGUGGUUCUGAAUGGAAGGGCCAUCGCUCAACGGAUAAAAGGUACUCCGGGGAUAACAGGCUGAUACCGCCCAAGAGUUCAUAUCGACGGCGGUGUUUGGCACCUCGAUGUCGGCUCAUCACAUCCUGGGGCUGAAGUAGGUCCCAAGGGUAUGGCUGUUCGCCAUUUAAAGUGGUACGCGAGCUGGGUUUAGAACGUCGUGAGACAGUUCGGUCCCUAUCUGCCGUGGGCGCUGGAGAACUGAGGGGGGCUGCUCCUAGUACGAGAGGACCGGAGUGGACGCAUCACUGGUGUUCGGGUUGUCAUGCCAAUGGCACUGCCCGGUAGCUAAAUGCGGAAGAGAUAAGUGCUGAAAGCAUCUAAGCACGAAACUUGCCCCGAGAUGAGUUCUCCCUGACUCCUUGAGAGUCCUGAAGGAACGUUGAAGACGACGACGUUGAUAGGCCGGGUGUGUAAGCGCAGCGAUGCGUUGAGCUAACCGGUACUAAUGAACCGUGAGGCUUAACCUU